rnacentral:rRNA from 1 species
UACGUAGGGACCAAGCGUUGUUCGGAUUUACUGGGCGUAAAGGGCGCGUAGGCGGCGUGACAAGUCACUUGUGAAAUCUCUGAGCUUAACUCAGAACGGCCAAGUGAAACUGUUGUGCUAGAGUGCAGAAGGGGCAAUCGGAAUUCUUGGUGUAGCGGUGAAAUGCGUAGAUAUCAAGAGGAACACCUGAGGUGAAGACGGGUUGCUGGGCUGACACUGACGCUGAGGCGCGAAAGCCAGGGGAGCAAACGGA